AGCAACAGUUGCAACAACUACACGAACAUCGACUCAGACAGCAGUUUGGAGGUCAGAUGAUUCAUGACUUUGUAGAUUGAAUGGUUUAUUAUGACAAUUGUCUAGCAAGUUUAAGUUUAAGCCACGUAAUGACAUCACAAGAUAAAUGUGCUUGAGUAGUGAAAGGCACCAUAAAGGUAUGGGGAAAAUAGUUGUAGAUUGUCAUUUAUGUAGUAGCAAGUAUAGUGGGGCUUAACCAUAUAUUCAAAGGCUCUUGAAUUAUGAUUCUCAAAUACAAGUGAACGAACAUGUGUUCACUUAACUAAAGGGUAAGAAAUACUUUGGACACUUUGCUAUAUGGAAAUGCAAACUGAAGGUUCUAAUAUUUUUUGUGUUAAUUAAGGUCAAGUGCUGUGAUGUUUUUAAGCAGGCAAAAUGGAGAAGUUUCACAAAUAUUAAGCACGCAAGGUGGAAUUGUCACAAGCAAAGCUCAAAUCUGACACUUUUUGUGAGCAAGUUUAAGUUUAAGCCGCUUAAUGACAUCACAAGAUAAAUGUGCUGAAUUUUGUUGAUAUAUUGAGUAGUGAAAUGCGCCACAUAUGUAUGGGGAAAAUAGUUGUAGAUUGUCUUUUAUGUAGUAGUAUGUAUAGGGGGCUUAACCAUAUAUCAUGACAAGGCUCUUGAAUUAUGAUUCUCAAAUACAAGUGAACUAACAUGUGUUCACUUAACUAAAGGGUAAGAAAUACUUUGGACCCUUUGCUAUAUGUGUAAUUUAAGGUUCUAAAUUCUUUUGUCAAGGAUAAAGGAAUCCCAAGGGCAUACACAGAAUUUUUAGAAGGCAAUAUCACCAUUUAAAGAAGUGAAUAUCAUUAUAACAUAUUAUUAAGAAAAUGAAAUUUGACUCAGAU
rnacentral:lncRNA from 1 species